UGAGAUGGAGUCUCGCUCUGUCGCCCAGGCUGGAGUGCAGUGGUGGGAUCUUGGCUCACUGCAAGCUCCGCCUCCUGGGUUCACACCAUUCUCCUGCCUCAGUCUCCUGAGUUGCUGGGACUACAGGCGCCCGCCACCAUGCCCGGCUAAUUUUUUGUAUUUUUAGUAGAGAUGGGGUUUCACCGUGUUAGCCAGGAUGGUCUCGAUCUCCUGACCUCGAGAUCCGCCCGCCUCGGCCUCCCCAAGUGAUGGGAUUACAGUUGUGAACCACUGCGCCAGACCCAAGUAUAACUCUUGAUUGCCCCGAAACUUAACUACUCAUAGGCUACUAUUGACCAGAAGCUUUACCAAUAACAUAAACAGUCGAUGCACGUUUUUGUAUCGUGAAUGUGUGAUAUAGUGUGUUCUUACAAUACAGUAAGCCAGAGAAAAGAAAAUGCCAUUCGGAAAAUCCUAAGGAAGAGAGGAUGCAUUUCCUCGUCUCCACGUGGAAGCGGAUCACCCUAAAGGUCUUCAUCCUGGUCUUUUUCAUGCUGAGGAGGCUGGGGAGGAGAAGGAAGAGGAGGGGCUGGUCUUGCUGACCCAGGAGCAGCAGAGAAAGGAGAAAAUCCACGUGCAGGGGCUGGCCAGCGCUGGGCUUCUCGGGAAUGGAAUCACACACGGACUGUGGCGUACACAUCACAACUUUAAACCCCGUCCGUACUGAAGCCUGCGUCCGAAUUUCUUCUGUUUUUGUGGCGGAAGGAUAAAUAUUCCAUUGUACAGAC
rnacentral:lncRNA from 10 species